rnacentral:rRNA from 1 species
UACGAACCGUGCGAACGUUAUUCGGAAUCACUGGGCUUAAAGGGUGCGUAGGCUGCGAGGAGGGUGGGGUGUGAAAUCCCUCGGCUUAACCGAGGAAUUGCGCUCCAAACCGCCUUGCUGGAGUGAGACAGAGGUGAGCGGAACUAAUGGUGGAGCGGUGAAAUGCGUUGAUAUCAUUAGGAACACCAGAGGCGAAGGCGGCUCACUGGGUCUCAACUGACGCUGAUGCACGAAAGCUAGGGUAGCGAACGGG